rnacentral:rRNA from 1 species
UACGUAGGGUGCGAGCGUUGUCCGGAAUUACUGGGCGUAAAGAGCUCGUAGGUGGUUUGUCACGUCGUCUGUGAAAUUCCGGGGCUUAACCUCGGGCGUGCAGGCGAUACGGGCAAUACUUGAGUGCUGUAGGGGAGACUGGAAUUCCUGGUGUAGCGGUGAAAUGCGUAGAGAUCGAGAGGAACACCAGUGGCGAAGGCGGGUAACUGGACUGCAACUGACGCUGAGGCACGAAAGCGUGGGGAGCAAACAGGAUUAGAUACCCUGGUA